GACGAACGCUGGCGGCGUGCCUAAUACAUGCAAGUAGAACGCUGAAGAGAGGAGCCUGCUCUUCUUGGAUGAGUUGCGAACGGGUGAGUAACGCGUAGGUAACCUGCCUUGUAGCGGGGGAUAACUAUUGGAAACGAUAGCUAAUACCGCAUAACAAUGAAUGACACAUGUCAUUUAUUUGAAAGGGGCAAUUGCUCCACUACAAGAUGGACCUGCGUUGUAUUAGCUAGUAGGUGAGGUAACGGCUCACCUAGGCGACGAUACAUAGCCGACCUGAGAGGGUGAUCGGCCACACUGGGACUGAGACACGGCCCAGACUCCUACGGGAGGCAGCAGUAGGGAAUCUUCGGCAAUGGGGGCAACCCUGACCGAGCAACGCCGCGUGAGUGAAGAAGGUUUUCGGAUCGUAAAGCUCUGUUGUAAGUCAAGAACGAGUGUGAGAGUGGAAAGUUCACACUGUGACGGUAGCUUACCAGAAAGGGACGGCUAACUACGUGCCAGCAGCCGCGGUAAUACGUAGGUCCCGAGCGUUGUCCGGAUUUUUUGGGCGUAAAGCGAGCGCAGGCGGUUUGAUAAACUGAAUUAAAAGCUGUUGCUCCACCUUAUCUGCGUGUGAAAUUCUCACUGAGUGCUGAGGGGAUAGUGUUAUCAUUUGUUCUGUU
rnacentral:rRNA from 1 species